rnacentral:lncRNA from 1 species
GGGGAUACUAAUCGUAUCAAAUACAAUCCAAUGCAAUUAAUGCUUAAAAAUAAAAUCUUGUUAAAGAAGAUGAAAUAACAAUUCUAGGGUUCUAUUUUUUUUUCCUUCCAGACGGCGCCUCCUUCUUUCUGCGCGAUUCAUUCUCCAGAAUUUAUGAAAAUUCUUAAGAUUCAUUGAGGGUUUGAGCUUUAUUGAUUUAUAAUGGUGGUUACGAAGGCAAGUAAAUCUGGUGAGUGCGAUUAGGAAGGAUUUUUUUUUUCAAGUUGAUUAAAUGUGUUGAACGAAAUAGGUCUUUCAAUAAAAGAAUAUAUACCUCAUAUACAAUUAUGUUAUAGAUGAUUUAUUUUUUUUUUGGCUUUGAUGAUGGUAUGAAUCGAUAAUUAGGGUUAUACCAUUUAAUUAUUUGUACUCUUGUGGUUGUUGUUCUGUUUUUGUGUAGUGGUCCUACUGUUGUCGAUUUUUUAAAGGUCGUGUGGUCCUAUUUUUUCUUGUAGUUGCUGAUACAUCCUUAUAGAUAUUGAAGUUUGGUUUGAGUUGUUCUUCUUAUGUUUUUGCCUAUUUUAGUAAAUUGCUUAUUGUAUGUUCAGGAACGGUGUAUACUGUGUAUGAGAUGAUUUGUUUUUGGGUUCUAAUGUAUUGAAAAUUAGGCAAAUAUAUCUUUAUUUAAAAAUCUGACCCAUGAUAUUAAUAAUGUUGGAUUGUGCCUAUUAUACUAGUAAUAUAAUUGUAUACUAAUGUUGUUUUGUUUUUUAAAAAAUUAUGCAAAAGGGAAUGUGGUAACAAGAACAAAGGGAAGGGCACUGCCACUUCUGAUGACAAUGAGGAUGAUGUUUUUCAAGGUUAGAACAAUAGUUUUCUUUUUAUUUGUAAUAUGGAAAUUUAUAUAUGGUGGAAUGCAUGGUUUGUGUUUAGGUCCUUGUUGUGAAUUAGUGUUUUGUUAUGAACAUUAAUAUCUGAUUGUGCAUGAAGUAAGGUUGUUCAUGGUAUGGUUUGCGCGUUUAAUAUAUUGGGCGUAGCACGGUCGUGAUAGCUGUAUGAAUAAAUAAUGUGAAGCAUUGUGUGGGUGGCAUGAAAUAUUAUAUACAUGUGCAUGAAUCGAAAUAUUAAGUUCAUGAAUUUAUGAAAUAAUGACGUGAAUUAGUCUAUCAU